rnacentral:tRNA from 1 species
GAGGAUAUAGUUCAGUGGUAGAGCACGUGCUUAGCAUGCAUGAGGUCCUGGGUUCAAUUCCCAGUACCUUCA